UACGGGGGGAGCAAGCGUUGUUCGGAUUUACUGGGCGUAAAGGGCGCGUAGGCGGCCACCGCAAGUCGACUGUGAAAUCUCCGGGCUUAACCCGGAAAGGUCAGCCGAUACUGCGGGGCUAGAGUGCAGAAGGGGCAACUGGAAUUCCUGGUGUAGCGGUGAAAUGCGCAGAUAUCAGGAGGAACACCGGUGGCGAAGGCGGGUCUCUGGGCCGAUACUGACGCUGGAGGCGACGAAAGGCGUGGGGAGCAAACACGGG
rnacentral:rRNA from 1 species